rnacentral:rRNA from 1 species
GUGGGGAAUCUUGCGCAAUGGGCGAAAGCCUGACGCAGCCAUGCCGCGUGGAUGAUGAAGGUCUUAGGAUUGUAAAAUCCUUUCACCGGUGAAGAUAAUGACUGUAGCCGGAGAAGAAGCCCCGGCUAACUUCGUGCCAGCAGCCGCGGUAAUACGAAGGGGGCUAGCGUUGCUCGGAUUUACUUGGCGUAAAGGGCGCGUAGGCGGACAUUUAAGUCAGGGGUGAAAUCCCGGGGCUCAACCUCGGAACUGCCUUUGAUACUGGGUGUCUUGAGUAUGAGAGAGGUGUGUGGAACUCCGAGUGUAGAGGUGAAAUUCGUAGAUAUUCGGAAGAACACCAGUGGCGAAGGCGACACACUGGCUCAUUACUGACGCUGAGGCGCGAAAGCGUGGGGAGCAAACAGGAUUAGAUACCCGGUAGUCC